GACGAACGCUGGCGGCGUGCCUAAUACAUGCAAGUUGAGCGCUGAAGGUUGGUACUUGUACCAACUGGAUGAGCAGCGAACGGGUGAGUAACGCGUGGGGAAUCUGCCUUUGAGCGGGGGACAACAUUUGGAAACGAAUGCUAAUUCCGCAUAAAAACUUUAAACACAAGUUUUAAGUUUGAAAGAUGCAAUUGCAUCACUCAAAGAUGAUCCCGCGUUGUAUUAGCUAGUUGGUGAGGUAAAGGCUCACCAAGGCGAUGAUACAUAGCCGACCUGAGAGGGUGAUCGGCCACAUUGGGACUGAGACACGGCCCAAACUCCUACGGGAGGCAGCAGUAGGGAAUCUUCGGCAAUAGACGAAAGUCUGACCGAGCAACGCCGCGUGAGUGAAGAAGGUUUUCGGAUCGUAAAACUCUGUUGGUAGAGAAGAACGUUGGUGAGAGUGGAAAGCUCAUCAAGUGACGGUAACUACCCAGAAAGGGACGGCUAACUACGUG
rnacentral:rRNA from 1 species